ensembl:lncRNA
CCUGCUUGAUCUGAUGGGCUUGAGCUGCCCUAGGAAGGGGCCCAUGGGGUCAGGAACAGCCCUGAUGAACUGGAUCCUGCCAGCAACCAUAUAACAACACAGGUUGUGUGAUGUCAGGUGACAGCUGUUUUGUGGCGGAAACUGUCUAGAAUGCAGGCCUCCCGGCCCUGUGUCAGCAAUUGCUCCGUGGCCCCAGAGCUGCCCUCCCCGCGUGGAAAAGCCAUCUGGUGACAGGAAAACUUCCUUAACUAUUCAGACAAAGGUCCUUUGCAGACUUCUAAUGUAGAGAGCUGCUCACGUCUAAUGUAGAGAGCUGCUCACGUGUCCGCGUCCUCAGAAGACUGUUAGAGAGCGUUGAGCUAAGCCGUCAAAGUUAACAAACGUGUGUUAAGGAGAGAAGCUGGAACGCGAUUUCUGACUUGUUCGCCUUUCCCACUGCUGACCACCUGGGGGCGCACGAGCCUUCCUCGGACCCGAGACAGGACGGCGACCCCGGAUCGCCGGGUGCAGGGACGCGGACCGAGGCGAAGACCGGGGCGGGGCGAGGGUGCAAACCGUCCUCCCGCCGCAGACCGCCUCCACGGGAGGCCAGCACGCCAGCAUGGAUGGCCCAUCGAGAUCGCACCGGAGGCCGAAUUCUGCUAGGGUUAUGGAAAAAAACCAAUCUUUAAAAUAUGGAUAAUUUUAAAAGUCUCUACUG